rnacentral:rRNA from 1 species
UAGAUGCGAGAGUAGAGCAUAUCAAUAAGCGGAGGAAAAGAAACUAACAAGGAUUCCCUUAGUAACGGCGAGUGAAGCGGGAAGAGCUCAAAUUUGAAAUCUUCAAGGUUCUACCUUGACGAAUUGUAGUUUAUAGAAGUGUUUUCUGUUAGUAGAGUGGCAAAAGUUCUUUGGAAUAGGACAUCAUAGAGGGUGAGAAUCCCGUAUUUGGUCAUCUCUUCCUAGCUUUGUGAUACACUUUCAACGAGUCGGAUUGUUUGGGAAUGCAGUCCAAAAUGGGUGGUAAAUUUCAUCUAAAGCUAAAUAUUGGCGAGAGACCGAUAGCGAACAAGUACCGUGAGGGAAAGAUGAAAAGAACUUUGAAAAGAGAGUUAAACAGUACGUGAAAUUGUCAAAAGGGAAGCGUUUGACACCAGUGUUGUUUUUCCGAAAAUCAAUUACGAAUGUUUUAUUUUUGAGAAGUUAUGACUUCAUCGGCUUGCUCCUUUCUUUACGAAACUUUCUUAAUGCACUUUUCGGUUAACAAGUCAACAUCAAUUUCUUUUGUUGUAAAAGGGUAUGAGGAAGGUGGCUUUCUUUUCGGAGAAAGUGUUUAUAGCCUUGUGCCUCUGCAAUCGGAGAGAUUGAGGUCUGCAGCGUAGAUCCUUCGGGGUUAGAUACGUUUGUGCUAAGUUAUAGCUUUUCAUAGACAACUUGUUGACUAUGUUUAGUCUUGUAGCUUACUCGCUGACGCUAUUUUACCUACGCUUAGGAUGUUGACGCGCGUGUGUGCGUGAGACUAUACAUGACUCUGCGCAUAUCAAUAAGCGGAGGAAAAGGCGGCGGAGAGUAUUGGUGUGGGCGUACCUACGCUUAGGAUGUUGAAGAUGUAGCACAUCAU